AGAACGAACGCUGGCGGCAUGCCUAAUACAUGCAAGUCGAACGAACACUUCGGUGUUAGUGGCGCACGGGUGCGUAACGCGUGGGAAUCUGCCCUUGGGUUCGGAAUAACAGUUGGAAACGACUGCUAAUACCGGAUGAUAUCGAAAGAUCAAAGAUUUAUCGCCCAGGGAUGAGCCCGCGUAGGAUUAGCUAGUUGGUGAGGUAAAGGCUCACCAAGGCGACGAUCCUUAGCUGGUCUGAGAGGAUGAUCAGCCACACUGGGACUGAGACACGGCCCAGACUCCUACGGGAGGCAGCAGUAGGGAAUAUUGGACAAUGGGCGCAAGCCUGAUCCAGCAAUGCCGCGUGAGCGAUGAAGGCCUUAGGGUUGUAAAGCUCUUUUACCCGAGAUGAUAAUGACAGUAUCGGGAGAAUAAGCCCCGGCUAACCUCCGCGCCAGCAGCCGC
rnacentral:rRNA from 1 species